rnacentral:rRNA from 1 species
GAUGAACGCCAGCUACCGUCUUAACACAUGCAAGUCGAGGGGCAGCAUUUCAGUUUGCCUGCAAACUGGAGAUGGCGACCGGCGCACGGGUGAGUAACACGUAUCCAACCUGCCGAUAACUCGGGGAUAGCCUUUCGAAAGAAAGAUUAAUACCCGAUGGCAUAAUAGAACCGCAUGGUCUUAUUAUUAAAGAAUUUCGGUUAUCGAUGGGGAUGCGUUCCAUUAGGCAGUUGGUGAGGUAACGGCUCACCAAACCUUCGAUGGAUAGGGGUUCUGAGAGGAAGGUCCCCCACAUUGGAACUGAGACACGGUCCAAACUCCUACGGGAGGCAGCAGUGAGGAAUAUUGGUCAAUGGACGAGAGUCUGAACCAGCCAAGUAGCGUGAAGGAUGACUGCCCUAUGGGUUGUAAACUUCUUUUAUAUGGGAAUAAAGUUUUCCACGUGUGGAAUUUUGUAUGUACCAUAUGAAUAAGGAUCGGCUAACUCCGUGCCAGCAGCCGCGGUAAUACGGAGGAUCCGAGCGUUAUCCGGAUUUAUUGGGUUUAAAGGGAGCGUAGGUGGAUAGUUAAGUCAGUUGUGAAAGUUUGCGGCUCAACCGUAAAAUUGCAGUUGAUACUGGCUGUCUUGAGUACAGUAGAGGUGGGCGGAAUUCGUGGUGUAGCGGUGAAAUGCUUAGAUAUCACGAAGAACUCCGAUUGCGAAGGCAGCUCACUGGACUGCAACUGACACUGAUGCUCGAAAGUGUGGGUAUCAAACAGG